UACGUAGGGCGCAAGCGUUGUCCGGAAUUAUUGGGCGUAAAGAGCUCGUAGGCGGCUUGUCACGUCGGGUGUGAAAGCCCGGGGCUUAACCCUGGGUCUGCAUUCGAUACGGGCAGGCUAGAGUUCGGUAGGGGAGACGUGGAAUUCCUGGUGUAGCGGUGAAAUGCGCAGAUAUCAGGAGGAACACCGAUGGCGAAGGCAGGUCUCUGGGCCGAUACUGACGCUGAGGAGCGAAAGCGUGGGGAGCGAACAGG
rnacentral:rRNA from 1 species